UACGGAAGGGGCAAGCGUUGUUCGGAAUCAUUGGGCGUAAAGAGCGCGUAGGCGGUCCGGUAAGUCAGCUGUGAAAGUCAGGGGCUCAACCCUUGAAAGCCGGUUGAUACUGUCGGGCUAGAGUCCGGAAGAGGCGAGUGGAAUUCCCGGUGUAGCGGUGAAAUGCGCAGAUAUCGGGAGGAACACCAAUGGCGAAGGCAGCUCGCUGGGACGGUACUGACGCUGAGGCGCGAAAGCGUGGGGAGCAAACAGGG
rnacentral:rRNA from 1 species